rnacentral:rRNA from 1 species
AUGCAACGUAUCCCCAAGAGAUUCUACAAAGAUGUAGACAAAGCGCGGCGUCGGUUCUUGUGGGAACAAGACGAGGAGGUCACCGGAGGUAGAUGCAAAGUCAACUGGCAACUUGUCACGUCCCCGAUCGAGCAUGGCGGCCUCGGCAUCCCCAACAUGGAGCGGUUCGCGCGCGCCUUGCGCCUCCGCUGGCUUUGGCUGGUGUGGAUAGACCCGGCCAGGCCAUGGAUCCACCUGGAGUUGCCCUGUGACGGCAACGAUAGAGCACUCUUCGCCUCGGCCACGACGGUGACAGUGGGCGAUGGCAACCGAGCGCUCUUCUGGCACUGCUCCUGGCUCGGCGAGCAACCGCUGCGGCAAGAUUACCCCGACCUAUUCAGGCGCUCAACAAGGAAGAAUCGCACUGUCGCGGAGGCGUUACGCGACGACAGAUGGAUCAUGGACCUCAGGCGCAGCAGCAGCCUGGAAGUCAUCCCCCAGGUCGUGCUGCUGCAGCGACGCAUCAGAGAAGCCAACUUGGCGCUGCAUGGAGGGACCGAGGAUAAGAUUACCUGGAAAGCCGGUGGAGACUACACGGCGAGGUCAGCGUUGUUGGAACCCAUGAAUGCACAAACACUCAUAGAAAUGGAGGAGGCCGGAGGUAGAAGAACAAUAAACAGUUGA